UUCGCAUGAUUUGACCUUACCCUCCCCUUAAGACUUGUCAUCUUUCGCUAAGGACCUGUAAAACAUUCUUCGGUGCGGGCUGGUAUCCCCAUGUAAAUUUAUGGUAUUUUUCCGAUCUCAGUACUUGGUGGUGAACAGACCCCGUUAAAAACGGUUUUUAGCCUGUUUGUUUUUGGCUGACUCCCAUAACUGAAAAACAGUUUUUGUCAAUUUGAGUAAUAGGCUAUAACAAAAAUUCCGCCAUUGAGAAGGAACAAUUGAAUUUGAAAGGCACAAAAGCAACUUUUGGAUACUUGGUAUUUUCUCAACAUCGUUUCGCGCUCGCAAUGCUACCAUCUCUACAUUCAAAUUCAGUUUUGCAUGAUUAGUUCAAUGAUUAGUUUGUGCAUUUUGCAAAUAUUAAAACUUAAAUGAAAAGUUGUGGGACUUGAAAUCGCACAUUAAAACUAAAAAACACAAGGCAAACCUUGAAGUACGGCAAGGCAACCAAACAAUAGAGUUUCCCAAAACAUCUACAGAGACAUCCUCAACAGAAGCUGCAAUCUGCUUGUUUAUAUGGAUUGCAACGAGCUGAAAAAUUCUGUUUUCAGUACGAAGCCCCACAUAAGAGCCUUUCACAGAUUGGUACAAUAGGAAAGUAUUUUAACCAGUUUGCUUAACGAAGAAUAAUCAUUAAAUAAUUUACACAGAAUGUAGAAAAAAAUGACAUUAUGUUAUUAAAAACUAACGGCUAU